rnacentral:lncRNA from 1 species
CUGGCAUCCUUGCUGUCCUCACCCCGACACAGGUGUGCCUGGGCCUUGCACAACAAGGUGACGCCAUGCGAGCGUGGCAGGGCCGGGGAAGCCUUUGCUCCUCACCCUGGUGAGGCCCAUGAGGGGCUGCAGGUGGAGGGAGGGUGGCACCGGGCCCCAGAGCCAGGAGCCCCUGCUGUCCCCGGAUGGCCGAGACCCUUGGAGGGCCUUGGGAGAGGCGGUGGGGCAUCUGGACAAAUGCCUGGUGCAGGUGAGAAGGGGUGGGACUACCUCCGGCAUCCCUGGGCUGAGCCCACCUGGUCUCCCCGGUUGCUCCUGCACACGGCAGUGCCCACCUGCUUCCCUCAGCUCCUGAGGGGCUGGGCAGAGCCUGUUGCUCACGCCACCCCACUCAGUGCUGCUCCGGGUUGUGAAAGCUGCAGGUGGCUCACGUUAGCCCACAUGGCAGCACCCUCCCAGAGCAGGUGCCAACCUGCCAGUGUAGACACACCGACUGAUGCCGGGGGUGAGUGUCCUGUAGUGUAGAAACGCCCACUCAUCCUGCUUGUCCCGCAGAGAGCAUUUGUCAAGCUGGCCUUUCUCCAACUGGGUCACUGAUGGAGUUCGGCAGAGACGGCUUGGGGGCCACGGGCUGGGCAGAUGGGGAGAGCUCCUCACAAGGCUGGGCAGCCAGACCCCCAUUGUCAGUCCCCUCCAAACCCUCGUGGGAUGUAGGGCCCUACCACAGGGAGCCCCGGGACUGGGCCAGUGUCUCAGGAGGCUGUGAAGAGUCAUAGGCUUGAGUCUGGGAGCUUUCUCGGGGGCCGUUUUGUGCCCCUUGGGGAGAGGCCAGAGGGGCCCUGGGUAAGGGGACUCCUCUAGAAUCACCCAGAAGUGGCAGGAGGUGCAGGGCCACUGCUCGGGGCUCCCUGGGCUCUGAGCUGGGCAGUGACCUGGCCCCAAGGCCUCUGGCUCUCUGGCGUGCAGUGGGAACAGCCGGGACAGACAGGCUUGGAGCGUUCGUGUCCUGCGCCGCGUUGGUGUGUUUCGUCCCCACUGUGCCUGUAGGAGGGCACCGGGUCCCCGUCUAUCCUACUUCAUGGCUGAGGAAGCUAAGGCACAGAGUGGCCCCGUCCUGCGCCCAGGGCUCUGCGUUGGCACAGGGCAGAGCUGGGCUGUGAAUCAGGGCCGCCUUGUCUCUUGCUGUGGUGUGAGGCUGUGGGAGACUCAGGAAUGAGGCACAGCCAGGUGCCCAGUGCCCGUGGGACCCGCCUCCCCACAGUGGGGUGGCGCCGCUCACACCUGGUAAUUUCACGCUGGGGGAGGCCUUGGUUCCUAUAGCCCAUCUCGAAUCACCUGGAUCCCAGGGCUAUCUCUGGGGAACAUCUCCUCUCCAUCACGACUACUGUCUUUUUCACCAGCAUUUUCUAUCCUAAAAUCAGACUCCUCAGCUGAGGGCCCUCCAGGACCGCCCUUCCCCAGCUGGAGUUCCCUUGGAUGCUGGACACGGGAGCCACCUGGGCGAGGGGAGCCCAUCCAAGUGGCUGUGCGUCGGGAAGAGUCUGCCCAGGACUGGGCUAGACCAGAACUUAGAAUUAAGGAGUGGUGGCCAGGCUUGGUGGCUCACACCUGCAAUCCCAGCACUUUGGGAGGCCGAGGCGGGUGGAUAGCUUGAGCCUAGGAGUUUGAGAACAGCCAACAUGGCGAAACUCUGUCUCUUAAAAAAUAAAUAAAAA